GACGUAGGGUCCAAGCGUUGUCCGGAUUUACUGGGCGUAAAGAGCGCGUAGGCGGCUUGAUAAGUGUGAUGUGAAAUCUCCAGGGCUUAACCCGGAAACUGCACCGCAGACUGUCAGGCUUGAGGACUGGAGAGGAGACUGGAAUUCAUGGUGUAGCAGUGAAAUGCGUAGAGAUCAUGAGGAAGACCAGUGGCGAAGGCGGGUCUCUGGACAGUUCCUGACACUGAGGCACGAAGGCCAGGGGAGCAAACGGG
rnacentral:rRNA from 1 species